AAGUCGUAACAAGGUUUCCGUAGGUGAACCUGCGGAAGGAUCAUUACAAAUCCAUCCCGUCUCACCCGAGACAAUGUUGAAACAUUCACUUGGUACGGACGUGCGCACGCACGACCUCCUUCACCGGAGUCGUCGUAGCCGUCCUGCCAAACCCCUUGACUAGAAAAACUGUUGUUCAUAUGUAUGCUUCUUACAACAAAGAAACAACUUAUACCAAUGGAUCUCUAGGCUCUU
rnacentral:misc_RNA from 1 species